UGGGGAAUAUUGCACAAUGGGCGCAAGCCUGAUGCAGCCAUGCCGCGUGUGUGAAGAAGGCCUUCGGGUUGUAAAGCACUUUCAGCGGGGAGGAAGGGAGUAAAGUUAAUACCUUUGCUCAUUGACGUUACCCGCAGAAGAAGCACCGGCUAACUCCGUGCCAGCAGCCGCGGUAAUACGGAGGGUGCAAGCGUUAAUCGGAAUUACUGGGCGUAAAGCGCACGCAGGCGGUUUGUUAAGUCAGAUGUGAAAUCCUCGGGCUCAACCUGGGAACUGCAUCUGAUACUGGCAAGCUUGAGUCUCGUAGAGGGGGGUAGAAUUCCAGGUGUAGCGGUGUAAUGCGUAGAGAUCUGGAGGAAUACCGGUGGCGAAGGCGGCCCCCUGGACGAAGACUGACGCUCAGGUGCGAAAGCGUGGGGAGCAAACAGG
rnacentral:rRNA from 1 species